rnacentral:rRNA from 1 species
CCUACGGGAGGCUGCAGUGGGGAAUAUUGGACAAUGGGCGCAAGCCUGAUCCAGCCAUACCGCGUGGGUGAAGAAGGCCUUCGGGUUGUAAAGCCCUUUUGUUGGGAAAGAAAAGCAGCCGGUUAAUACCCGGUUGUUCUGACGGUACCCAAAGAAUAAGCACCGGCUAACUUCGUGCCAGCAGCCGCGGUCAUACGAAGGGUGCAAGCGUUACUCGGAAUUACUGGGCGUAAAGCGUGCAGAGGGUGGUGAAAGCCCUGGGCUCAACCUGGGAAUUGCAGUGGAUACUGGGCGACUAGAGUGUGGUAGAGGGUAGUGGAAUUCCUGGUGUAGCAGUGAAAUGCGUAGAGAUCAGGAGGAACAUCCAUGGCGAAGGCAGCUACCUGGACCAACACUGACACUGAGGCACGAAAGCGUGGGGAGCAAACAGGAUUAGAUACCCUAGUAGUC